rnacentral:rRNA from 1 species
CCAGACUCCUACGGGAGGCAGCAGUGAGGAAUAUUGGUCAAUGGGCGCGAGCCUGAACCAGCCAAGUCGCGUGAGGGAAGACGGCCCUACGGGUUGUAAACCUCUUUUGCCGGGGAGCAACGGGCGCCACGUGUGGCGCCACUGAGAGUACCCGGAGAAAAAGCAUCGGCUAACUCCGUGCCAGCAGCCGCGGUAAUACGGAGGAUCCGAGCGUUAUCCGGAUUUAUUGGGUUUAAAGGGAGCGUAGAUGGGUUGUUAAGUCAGUUGUGAAAGUUUGCGGCUCAACCGUAAAAUUGCAAUUGAUACUGGCAGCCUUGAGUACAGUUGAGGUAGGCGGAAUUCGUGGUGUAGCGGUGAAAUGCUUAGAUAUCACGAAGAACUCCGAUUGCGAAGGCAGCAUGCCGGCUCCACACUGACGCUGAGGCACGAAAGCGUGGGUAUCGAACAGGAUUAGAUACCCCUGUA